UGCUUGUCUCAAAGAUUAAGCCAUGCAUGUCCAAGCAUAAACCGAAUAUGGUAAAGCCGCGAAUGGCUCAUUACAACAGCCAUAGUUUAUUGGAUCUUAGAGUCCUACUUGGAUACCUGUGGUAAUUCCAGAGCUAAUACACGCAAUCAAGCCUCAACCUUACGGGCGGGGCGCAUUUAUUAGAACAAAACCAAUUGGCUUCGGCCAUAGAUUGGUGAAUCUGAAUAACUACGCUGAUCGCACGGGCUUGUCCCGGCGACGUAUCCUUCAAGUGUCUGCCUUAUCAACUUUCGAUGGUAGUUUAUAUGACUACCAUGGUUGUAACGGGUAACGGAGAAUAAGGGUUCGACUCCGGAGAGGGAGCCUGAGAAACGGCUACCACAUCCRAGGAAGGCAGCAGGCA
rnacentral:rRNA from 1 species